UGAGCAAGUCUGACCUUUAUCAUGCUCCCAUUUGUUUGUACUUUUGAGUCUUUUCAUGACUUGCCCCUCUAUUUCCUCGGCAUUUACCAUAGGGAUGGUAAAGUAGUAGGCUAAGUUGCUCUGACUGAUGAGUUGGGCCUGUAUUAUGUGAAUGGCGAAUGGGCUUUUAAAUGAUGGGUUGUUCAUCGUAUACUUGGCCCUUGAUAGAUGUAGAUAAGCCCAGCGAUCAUCCUUUUGCUCCUUUACCGUCUCGCCGGUUAUUUCCUAACCGUCGAAAGGGUAAACUUCGAGAACAAUUAAUGAUCGCGCCGCUCCAAGACAAAACUGUUCAGUAUCAACGCUCUGCCUCAUAAUAGCCUUUCUUUCUUUCGUUUCGAAUUCCUUCUGUCUUUUGAAGAACUAGCUCUUGUCUGCUCUCUGUCGUCCUGCAACUCCUUCUACGUCUUUUUU
rnacentral:lncRNA from 1 species